GUGUCAGCCGCCGCGGUAAUACGUAGGGUGCAAGCGUUAAUCGGAAUUACUGGGCGUAAAGCGUGCGCAGGCGGUUUGUUAAGAUCGGCGUGAAAUCCCCGGGCUCAACCUGGGAACGGCAUUUGAUACUGGGCAGCUAGAGUUUAGGAGAGGAGAGUGGAAUUUCCGGUGUAGCGGUGAAAUGCGUAGAGAUCGGAAGGAACACCAGUGGCGAAGGCGGCUCUCUGGCCUAAAACUGACGCUGAGGUACGAAAGCGUGGGGAGCAAACAGGAUUAGAUACCCUGGUAGUCCACGCCGUAA
rnacentral:rRNA from 1 species